rnacentral:tRNA from 1 species
GCCCGGCUGGCUCAGUCGGAAGAGCAGGUGGCUCUUGAUCAUGGGGUCGUGAGUUCAAGCCCCACGUUGGGUG